UACAGAGGUCCCAAGCGUUGUUCUGAUUCACUGGGCGUAAAGGGUGCGUAGGCGGUCGGGUAAGUCUGACGUGAAAUCUUCAAGCUCAACUUGGAAACUGCGUCGGAUACUAUUCGGCUAGAGGAAUGGAGGGGAGACUGGAAUACUUGGUGUAGCAGUGAAAUGCGUAGAUAUCAAGUGGAACACCAGUGGCGAAGGCGAGUCUCUGGACAUUUCCUGACGCUGAGGCACGAAAGCCAGGGGAGCAAACGGG
rnacentral:rRNA from 1 species